GUCUGAAAUUAGUGCUUGUAAAUUGCCAAUUUACUACUAAAACCACGCUUCUUCCUUCCCCAUUAUUUAUGGCCAGAAGUGAACCGGUUUAAGCUUAAUUUAUAUCUGGUGGCUCAGCUGAAUGCCAUUAUCAAGUUCUGAUCCUCAUUAGCUGCAGAAACUGGCCUUCUCAGCUAGAAUACUUUUAUGCACCCUGAAGACAUAAGCAGUACUCACCAGUCUCCAGACCAAGAACAUCUAGUCCCCAAAGAUACAGAACUCAUAUCACCACCAAGUGGUGAUAUGGCAACAAGUAAUACUACACAUUCUUAUAACUACACACCAUCAAUAAAAAGGGGGAGAAAAAAAGAGAACCCAAGUGAAGUGUCAAGCUUCUGUUAUGUAUCGGCUGCCUGUAGAUAAGGUUAAGUAGUCUAUUAACAGUUAGGAUUGACGAAGUUUCUAAUCUCCUCCAUGAGGCAAUAGAA
rnacentral:misc_RNA from 1 species